GAGUUUGAUCUUGGCUCAGAGUGAACGCUGGCGGCAGGCCUAACACAUGCAAGUCGAACGGCAGCGCAGCCCCGCAAGGGGUGGGCGGCGAGUGGCGGACGGGUGAGGAAUACAUCGGAAUCUACCUUGUCGUGGGGGAUAACGUAGGGAAACUUACGCUAAUACCGCAUACGACCUACGGGUGAAAGCGGCGGACCGCAAGGCGUCGCGCGAUUGGAUGAGCCGAUGUCCGAUUAGCUAGUUGGCGGGGUAAAGGCCCACCAAGGCGACGAUCGGUAGCUGGUCUGAGAGGAUGAUCAGCCACACUGGAACUGAGACACGGUCCAGACUCCUACGGGAGGCAGCAGUGGGGAAUAUUGGACAAUGGGCGCAAGCCUGAUCCAGCCAUGCCGCGUGUGUGAAGAAGGCCUUCGGUUGUAAG
rnacentral:rRNA from 1 species